rnacentral:rRNA from 1 species
UACGAAGGAUCCAAGCGUUAUCCGGAUUCAUUGGGUUUAAAGGGUGCGUAGGCGGUCAAAUAAGUCAGUGGUGAAAUCUCCGAGCUUAACUCGGAAAUUGCCAUUGAUACUGUUUGACUAGAGUUCAGAUGAUGUUGGCGGAAUGUGUCAUGUAGCGGUGAAAUGCUUAGAUAUGACACAGAACACCGAUUGCGAAGGCAGCUGACAAAACUGAUACUGACGCUGAUGCACGAAAGUGCGGGGAUCAAACAGG